UGGGGUCCCAGUGACGGCCCCAAAAAUUUACCUAGGGUUGACGGUCUUUAUUAGUCUCUCGUCGGUGACACUGCAUUCACGCGUAUUUUUUUCAGAACGCGGCGAACCGGUUUUGGAACGAGUAACAUCGCGAAUCCUUUAACAGAACACGGCGCGGACUCGAUGUGGAUUGAAGCCGGAGCGAGCAGCGUCGCGACUCGUUUAACAGAACGCAGCGUACGCAGAAAGGACCAACUCUAAAAUCAAUGGCGUUACGAUUUAUUUAUUAUAUUACCAUAUUUGACAAUUAAACUAGCAAGCUAAAUACUCUGAGAGAAGGAAAAGGCCUGGGCGAGGCAUCAAACCUCAGCGGAGCAACCUUGGG